rnacentral:rRNA from 1 species
AACGAACGCUGGCGGCAGGCCUAACACAUGCAAGUCGAACGCUCGUAGCAAUACGGGAGUGGCAGACGGGUGCGUAACGCGUGGGAACAUACCCUUUGGUUCGGAAUAACUCAGGGAAACUUGAGCUAAUACCGGAUACGCCCGAGAGGGGAAAGAUUUAUUGCCGAAGGAUUGGCCCGCGUCUGAUUAGCUUGUUGGUAGGGUAACGGCCUACCAAGGCGAUGAUCAGUAGCUGGUCUGAGAGGAUGAUCAGCCACACUGGGACUGAGACACGGCCCAGACUCCUACGGGAGGCAGCAGUGGGGAAUAUUGGACAAUGGGCGCAAGCCUGAUCCAGCCAUGCCGCGUGAGUGAUGACGGCCUUAGGGUUGUAAAGCUCUUUUACCCGGGAAGAUAAUGACGGUACCGGGAGAAUAAGCCCCGGCUAACUUCGUGCCAGCAGCCGCGGUAAU